GACGAACGCUGGCGGCGUGCUUAACACAUGCAAGUCGAACGGAAAGGCCCUGCUUUUGUGGGGUGCUCGAGUGGCGAACGGGUGAGUAACACGUGAUUAACCUGCCCUUGACUUUGGGAUAACUUCAGGAAACUGGGGCUAAUACCGGAUAGGAGCUCCUGCUGCAUGGUGGGGGUUGGAAAGUUUCGGCGGUUGGGGAUGGACUCGCGGCUUAUCAGCUUGUUGGUGGGGUAGUGGCUUACCAAGGCUUUGACGGGUAGCCGGCCUGAGAGGGUGACCGGCCACAGUGGGGCUGAGAUACGGCCCAGACUGAUACGGGAGGCAGCAGUGGGGAAUAGUGCACAAUGGGCGGAAGCCUGAUGCAGCAACGCCGCGUGCGGGAUGACGGCCUUCGGGUUGUAAACCGCUUUCGCCUGUGACGAAGCGUGAGUGACGGUAAUGGGUAAAGAAGCACCGGCUAACUACGUG
rnacentral:rRNA from 1 species